GACGAACGCUGGCGGCGUGCCUAACACAUGCAAGUCGAACGGAGCCUAUUGAAUGAAGCCUUCGGGUAGAUUUCGAGAAAGCUUAGUGGCGGACGGGUGAGUAACGCGUGAGUAACCUGCCUCUCAGAGUGGAAUAACAUUUGGAAACGAAUGGUAAUACCGCAUAACGUCACGGAACCGCAUGAUUCUGUGACCAAAGGAGCAAUCCGCUGAGAGAUGGACUCGCGUCCGAUUAGCUAGUUGGAGAGGUAACGGCGUCCCCAAGGCGACGAUCAGUAGCCGGACUGAGAGGUUGAACGGCCACAUUGGGACUGAGACACGGCCCAGACUCCUACGGGAGGCAGCAGUGGGGGAUAUUGGACAAUGGGGGCGAACCCUGAUCCAGCGAUGCCGCGUGAGGGAAGAAGGUUUUCGGAUUGUAAACCUCUGUUGACAGGGACGAUAAUGACGGUACCUAAUGAAUAAGCUCCGGCUAACUACGUGCCAGCAGCCGC
rnacentral:rRNA from 1 species